AGUGAACGCUGGCGGCAGGCCUAACACAUGCAAGUCGAACGGUAACAGAGAGAAGGUUUCUUCUUUGCGGAGGAGAGGGGGGGGGGGGUGAAAUGUACGGGAGAAUGCACGAUGGAGGGGGGGAAAUAGUGGAAAAGGUAGCGAAAAUAGCAUAAAGGAGCAAGGGGAAAAAGGGGGGGAUUCGGGCACCUUGCCCGAGGGAGUUCGCAGAUGGGGGAUGAGCGAGGGGGCGGGGUAGGGGCACACCGAGGCGACGAUCCCUAGCUGGUCUGAGAGGAUGACCAGCCACACUGGAACUGAGACACGGUCCAGACUCCUACGGGAGGCAGCAGUGGGGAAUAUUGCACAAUGGGCGCAAGCCUGAUCCAGCCAUGCCGCGUGUAUGAAGAAGGCCUUCGGGUUGUAAAGUACUUUCAUUGGGGAGGAAGAGCGUCAAGUUAAUACCCUUCCUCAUUGACGUUACCCACAGAAUAAGCACCGGCUAACUUCGUG
rnacentral:rRNA from 1 species